AGAGUUUGAUCCUGGCUCAGGAUAAACGCUGGCGGCGUGCAUAACACAUUCAAGUCGAACGGUGCGAGGUGAAGCUUUGCUUCACCGAAGCAUAGUGCGGACGGGUGAGUAACGCGUGAGCAACCUGCCUGUGUGAGGGGAAUAACGUCCGGAAACAGACGCUAAUACCGCAUGAAGCACGGACACCGCAUGGUGACCGUGCCAAAGAUUUUAUCGCACACAGAUGGGCUCGCGUCCG
rnacentral:rRNA from 1 species